rnacentral:rRNA from 1 species
GUGCCAGCCGCCGCGGUAAUACGUAGGGUGCAGGCGUUAAUCGGAAUUACUGGGCGUAAAGCGUGCGCAGGCGGCUCUUUAAGUCAGAUGUGAAAGCCCCGGGCUUAACCUGGGAAUUGCGUUUGAAACUGGAGAGCUGGAGUGUGGAAGAGGGGGGUGGAAUUCCAGGUGUAGCAGUGAAAUGCGUAGAGAUCUGGAGGAACACCGAUGGCGAAGGCAGCCCCCUGGGCUAACACUGACGCUCAUGCACGAAAGCGUGGGGAGCAAACAGGAUUAGAUACCCUCGUAGUCC